ACAGGGUGACAGUGGCACUGCCUGGCACCUCAGCCCAGCCUCACCUGGCACCCAGGACCCCAAAAAAGCAGGAUCCCCACCAUCCCCAGCCCGGGAUUAUCCCAUCCUGGAGGAAAACACCCUCCAGACUGUGAUCUCAGCUCACCCUCAUUCAGCUGUCUUGUGGAUUUGUUCUGCCUCAGAUGGAGAGAUGUUAAUGUGAGGCAGCAGCAGCGGGGAGAGAUUAAGGGUCAGGAGGAGAUGCUGGCAGUCACAUGGGAAAGGCUGGUUUGCAAGGAGUGAGGAAAUGUAUGAUGUGAAGGUGCAGGGAACAGGAAACAGGAAAACUUCCCCUUGGAGCCCUCCCUCAGUCCUGGGGCUGGUCCCCAGCUCUUUCUACUCCUUGCUGAGUUUCAAAUGAAACACAGGACGUUGGAGCGAGGCUGCUGCUUGAAAAGCAUCUGAAAGCUGAAUUUCAGGCAAGCAGGAGGACGGAGGAGCUCAUUUUGGGAAAUAACGAGCAGUCAGUUAAUUAAGUGGCAGAGUUAGUGAUGUGAGAUGGGGCCUGAUGGGUUGCUGCUCCGUAACCAUGGCAACGGAGUUUGCUGCUCUCAAUCCUGGCCGGAGAAGAUGCAUUUCCGUGUCCCACGCCUGGCACCGGCUGC